AUACUUACCUGGCGCAGGCGACACCGUGAUCACGAAGGUGGUUCUCUCGGGGCGAGGACCGCCUUUGCAUUCCGUCGAUGCUGAAUCUUGUGAUUAAUCCAUAUGUGAUUAAUUGGAGUGCCAACUUUUUGUUAGAGGGACUACGUUCUCGCAUCCCCGCC